AUGAAUAUAAACAGGAUAUUGCAAUUAUCCAUGAAUAUAAACAAGAUAUUGCAAUUAUCCAUGAAUAUAAACAAGAUAUAACUAUCCAUGAAUAUAAACAAGAUAUUGCAACUAUCCAUGAAUAUAAACAGGGAAGAAAUAACAUAUUGAUGUACCCCUUUUAAACAUUUGUUUCUGUGGCCGAUAAUUAAAAGGUGUUUCAUGUGGCCAGCACAACGACCAAGUUGGACAACACCAAUAAGAUGGUGUCUUAAGAAUCACUAUUUUUAAAAUCCCAUUCUUCGUCAGAUUUGAUUCCGAUACACCUCGGUUCGGGAGUCUGGCUCUUUAACACUCAUCUUAUCUUAUAAAUGACAGACGUGACUUCAAGAGAGAAGAUAAUUACGUCCUACGUGUAUCCCUGUGUCCUAUGAUUUUUGAUGUUGAUUAAUGACUUCACCUCUGCCAGGCAAUCCAUGCUGUAAUAGCACUAAGGAAGAAGGUGCAUUUGUACAAACUUGUCCUAGUAUAUGGAAUAAGAAAUGUGUCUUUAUCUCUGUGUCUUUUUUAGUAGUUUAUUAGGUUUUAUUUUUUAUUAGUAAAUUUUGGUUCAAUAAGCCACCACGCGCGCAAAAUAUUAAUGAAAUUGCUAAUAAAAAAUUUUUAAAUGGUGUUACCCUUCUUUUUUUAAUCGCACAGAAAUAAAGAUGUGGC